rnacentral:sRNA from 1 species
UGACUUCUGAGUCAUCUGUUUGACCAUCAAGAGUUGCCUAGGAGACCACAACAGAGUCUUUCUAGAGUUCCUUGUGUUCAAAGCAACGGUUGUUCAUGUUUAGAGGUGGUAGUUAUUCUUUUUAAGGUAAAGCGAGCUAAUAACUUUCUUGAUGCUCUUAUAAUUUGAUGGUUUUAGUAGCAUAUGUUGAAUUGGAUUAAAAUGUGGAAUGUUAAAUUGAUUUAGUAGAAAUUGCGAUUUGAAUUAUUUUCUUUGUUGAUUGGUACUUGGUAUGGAUAUGAAUGUGUUGGUGGGUGAUGAAUCUGUUCAUAAUGGAUCUUGAUUGAUGAAUUGGUUAUGAUUGUGAAAUUAAUAAUGAUGUGUGCUUGAGAUAUAGGGAAAGGAAAAGGUUAAGCUAGGUUGUAAAUAAAUUUUUGGUCUAAAAAUGAGGUUUCACUAGGUGACUUGUUAAAAUAAUGGGCUAGAUGAAGAGAUGAUGAUUUAGGCUUUGUUUUG